ANAAGGAUCGGCUAACUCCGUACCAGCAGCCGCGGUAAUACGGAGGAUUCGAGCGUUAUCCGGAUUUAUUGGGUUUAAAGGGAGCGUAGGCGGGUUGUUAAGUCAGUUGUGAAAGUUUGCGGCUCAACCGUAAAAUUGCAGUUGAUACUGGCGACCUUGAGUGCAACAGAGGUAGGCGGAAUUCGUGGUGUAGCGGUGAAAUGCUUAGAUAUCACGAAGAACUCCGAUUGCGAAGGCAGCUUACUGGAUUGUAACUGACGCUGAUGCUCGAAAGUGUGGGUAUCAAACAGGAUUAGAUACCCUGGUAGUCCACACAGUAAACGAUGAAUACUCGCUGUUGGCGAUAUACAGUCAGCGGCCAAGCGAAAGCAUUAAGUAUUCCACCUGGGGAGUACGCCGGCAACGGUGAAACUCAAAGGAAUUGACGGGGGCCCGCACAAGCGGAGGAACAUGUGGUUUAAUUCGAUGAUACGCGAGGAACCUUACCCGGGCUUAAAUUGCAACUGACGGAACCGGAAACGGUUCUUUCUUCGGACAGUUGUGAAGGUGCUGCAUGGUUGUCGUCAGCUCGUGCCGUGAGGUGUCGGCUUAAGUGCCAUGACGAGCGCAACCCUUACGGGUAGUUACCAUCAGGUUAUGCUGGGGACUCUACCCGGACUACCGUCGUAAGAUGUGAGGAAGGUGGGGAUGACGUCAAAUCAGCACGGCCCUUACGUCCGGGGCUACACACGUGUUACAAUGGGGGGUACAGAAGGCAGCUACACGGCGACGUGGUGCUAAUCCCAAAAGCCUCUCUCAGUUCGGAUUGGAGUCUGCAACCCGACUCCAUGAAGCUGGAUUCGCUAGUAAUCGCGCAUCAGCCACGGCGCGGUGAAUACGUUCCCGGGCCUUGUACACACCGCCCGUCAAGCCAUGAAAGCCGGGGGUACCUGAAGUACGUAACCGCGAGGAGCGUCCUAGGGUAAA
rnacentral:rRNA from 1 species